GGUUCUAUGGUGUAAUGAUCAGCGCUUUGGGCUUUGAAUCCAGUGAUCUGAGUUCAAGUCUCGGUAGAACCU
rnacentral:tRNA from 1 species